rnacentral:rRNA from 1 species
GACGAACCGUCCAAACGUUAUUCGGAAUUACUGGGCUUAAAGGGUGCGUAGGCGGCGCGGAAAGUUGGGUGUGAAAUCCCUCGGCUCAACCGAGGAACUGCGCCCAAUACUACCGUGCUUGAGGGAGAUAGAGGUGAGCGGAACUUAGGGUGGAGCGGUGAAAUGCGUUGAUAUCCUAAGGAACACCGGUGGCGAAAGCGGCUCACUGGGUCUUUUCUGACGCUGAGGAACGAAAGCUAGGGGAGCAAACGGG